AAUACAGAUUGAGAAAAACGUAAAGAUAGAUAAAAAUGUCCAUUAAUAUUGUCUGGUACUUAAAAUUUGAAAAAAAAAAAAAAUAAAUGUACUCCAAAUGAGCUCAGUUACUUGGAUUAUCUAUAUAUUAUAUUAUACGGGUAUAUUAAUUACAUCAGAGGUAUUAUUCGAAAUAUGGGCGUACUAAAACAAUUUGUGAUGAUGGUUAUGAGGCAGUUGCCCCUGGUCGAGCACACCCAUGGCUUACGCUAUAC